GAUGCGAAGGCGGCGGCCAUGGCGGAGCUUCGGGCGGUGGUCGACGGGGAGCCGCGGUGCGACAAAAGCGAAAUGAACCGCGUCACAAUACGCGCAAGGGGGAGGGAAAGAGAAACGGUUAAGGCUACGGGUUUGGUUCUCACCGUGUCGUCGGCGGUGACCAAAACUCGCGGCGGUGUCCGUGCAACUCCGGCGAGCUAAAUGCGCAGCCUGGCGGCGAAAAUCAGGAGGGGAAAGAGAGGGGAAAGAAGCGGGGGUGCUCGGGCUUUAUACUGACACGCUCGACAACGGGUGGGAAGCACGGAGCAGACGGGGUGGCGGCGAUGGUGCGUGCAGGAUUAGCAGCGUGACACGCGGCCGGUUGCCUUGCGGAGACGAUGACCCUGACAGGUGGGGUCCACCUGUCAGAUGCUCGGUGUGGGCGCGCGUGCUGGGCUGGUUUGGUCGGUCGUGCGAGGCCGGUUCGGCCCAAGUUGGCCUGGCCAGGCCGGUUUUCUUUUUUUUUGUUCUUUUCUUUUUUUUCCUUUUUCUGAUUUCUUUGAUAUCUUUUGAUUUUGAACUUCAAAUUGAUCCAAAUAAAUUAUGGAAAAAUUGUAAAAUCAUAUUAUAAUAUGAUUCAACUUUUGGGACUAAUUUCCCUUCCAAAAAAAUUAUAAGAAAAGUACAUUUUCCCUACAAAUGCCUUUCGGGCUUAAUAACUAAUUAAAUAAAAUAGUUUUUCAUGUCCAAAUAAAUACCCAAAAUUUAUUGGAUACCUUAUUUUUGCAAUAAACCCCUUUUACAAAUAAACCCUAUGGGUUUUAAAGUCCAAAGCUC
rnacentral:lncRNA from 1 species